UAUACCACAUCUUCUUUAUCCAUUCAUCCAUCGAUGGACAUUUGGGCUCUUUCCAUGCUUUGGCUAUUGUUGAUAGUGCUGCUGUAAACAUGGGCGUGCAUGUGCCCUUUCGAAACAGCACACCUGUAUCCCGUGGAUCAAUGCCUAAUAGUGCAAUUGCUGG